GAGUUUGAUCAUGGCUCAGAUUGAACGCUGGCGGCAGGCCUAACACAUGCAAGUCGAGCGGUAGAGAGAAGCUUGCUUCUCUUGAGAGCGGCGGACGGGUGAGUAAUGCCUAGGAAUCUGCCUGGGUAGUGGGGGAUAAACGCUCGGAAACGGACGCUAAUACCGCAUACGUCCUACGGGAGAAAGCAGGGGACCUUCGGGCCUUGCGCUAUCAGAUGAGCCUAGGUCGGAUUAGCUAGUUGGUGAGGUAAUGGCUCACCAAGGCGACGAUCCGUAACUGGUCUGAGAGGAUGAUCAGUCACACUGGAACUGAGACACGGUCCAGACUCCUACGGGAGGCAGCAGUGGGGAAUAUUGGACAAUGGGCGAAAGCCUGAUCCAGCCAUGCCGCGUGUGUGAAGAAGGUCUUCGGAUUGUAAAGCACUUUAAGUUGGAGGAAGGGCAGUAAAUUAAU
rnacentral:rRNA from 1 species